GGAAUUUCCUCCACUUUUCAACAACAACCACCACUAGAGUUAACGCAGCUAUUUUACACCUCCAUUUUCAUAAAGAAACCAUGUGAUUUCUGCACCAGAUGCCACAGACUGCCACUGGAGAGUGCCGAGAUCACAAGUCACACUGAGGAGCACAUUCCAUGCGAUGUACCACGUCAUUUCAGUGUGUGCAGCAAACACAACUGACACCACGUCUGAUGGGCUUCACGUGUAUCUGCUGCAGUAUGCCAUUUCAAAGCAAUGGUGCAACGAGAAUCUAUCACAGACACAUCACCCUGCUCAUCAAAAGGGUUAAUAACGCAGCAACGAUACUUGAGACAGUAGCUGAACGACAUCAUCAACACAGUCUGGAUCUUUUGUUAUGUAUCUAACACAAGUGUUUGGAAGGAGGUGGGUAUGAACAUGACCAACACCAUUAUCAAGCAUUGAGCUUAUGAUUCAACCACUUUUUACAGUAAAAGUAAAGGAAAAAAUCCAAAAGUGUAAUACAAGUAUGUUCUGCAAUAAAUGAUGUUAACAUU